GGCGUCCGUAUUGACUUGACACUAAUAUGGAAAGGCCGUCAUUACAAGCAAACCAAGCCAAUAAUAAUAAUAAUAAUAAUAACAACAAUAAUAACAAUAGUAAUAGUCUAUGGACUCGAUUCUAACGCGCACCUUCUUGGGACUUGCUAAAAAUGAUAUCAUUCCAUAAACUACAUACUGACUUGACCUUAAUAUUGAAAUUCACUCAUUUAAAGGAAACUAAGACAAAUACCAUAAUAAUAAUAAUAAUAAUAAUACCAUAAUGACUCGAGUCUAAUGCGCACCUUCUUGAGGUUCGCCAAAAACGAUAACAUACCAUAAACUCCGUAUUGACAUGACCUCAAUAUUGAAAUUCAAUCAUUUAAAGGAAACUAAGACAAAUACCAUAAUAAUAAUAAUAAUAAUAAUACCACCACCAUAAUGACUCGAGUCUAAUGCGCACCUUCUUGGGGCUCGCCAAAAAUGACAACAUACCAUAAACUCCCUAUUGACUUGACCUUAAUAUUGAAAUUCAAUCAUUUAAAUGAAACUAAGACAAAUACCAUAAUAACAAUAACAACAACAACAAUAAUAAUACCACCAUAUGGAGAGUCUAAUGCACACCUUCUUGAGGCUCGCCAAAAAUGAUAACAUACCACAAACUCCAUAUUGACAUGACCUUAAUAUUGAAAUUCAAUCAUUUAAGACAAAUACCAUAAUAAUAAUAAUAAUAAUACUAAUAAUAAUAACAACAACAAUAGUAAUAUCCUACUGACUCAAUUCUAAUGCGCGCCUUCUUGGGACUUGCCAAAAAUGAUAUCAUUCCAUAAACUCCAUACUGACUUGACCUUAAUAUUGAAAUUCACUCAUUUAAAGGAAACUAAGACAAAUACCAUAAUAAUAAUAAUAAUAAUGAUAAUAAUAAUAAUAAUAGUAGUAGUUGUAGUACCAUAAUGACUCGAGUCUAAUGCGCACCUUCUUGAGGCUCUCCAAAAAUGAUAACAUACCAUAAACUCCGUAUUGACAUGACCUCAAUAUUGAAAUUCAAUCAUUUAAAGGAAACUAAGACAAAUACCAUAAUAAUAAUAAUAAUAAUGAUAAUAAUAACAAUAGUAAUAUCCUAUUGACUCGAUUCUAAUGUGCACCUUCUUGGGACUUGCCAAAAAUGAUAUCAUUCCAUAAACUCCAUACUGACUUGACCUUAAUAUUGAAAUUCACUCAUUUAAAGAAACUAAGACAAAUACUAUAAUAAUAAUAAUAAUAAUAAUAAUAAUAAUAAUAAUAAUAAUAAUACCAUAAUGACUCGAGUCUAAUGUGCACCUUCUUGGGGCUCGUCAAAAAUGACAACAUUACCAUAAACUCCCUAUUGACUUGACCUUAAUAUUGAAAUUCAAUCAUUUAAAGGAAACUGUAAUGAAGUGUGAAUUUUUAGUUUACAGAUGUUAUGUUUAAUUGUGUAUGGUGUUUUAAAAGGGUCAAUAUUUCAGUUAUUGCAUCUCUGCACUCAUGAGUUGGUUGCCAUGGAGAAGUGGGCGGAGCCAACUGCCGUUUUGGUGGAGAAGUGCAGGUUUAAAAAAGAAGCAGUUAGUCUGUGCCCUGAUGAGGUACAGGGAAGACUGACCCUAAGUUGAAGGGAUCAGGGAGGCUCAAUUGCUUAUUUUGAGUCAGUUUAAAAUAAGUUUGGUGACUUAUUUUAAGGUAGUCUGUCUCCUGAUGAGGAACAGAUAAUCUGUGAUUGUAAUUCACAGGGUGACUGCAGUUUAAAGCAGUAGAGAAAGAAGUGACAUUUUAAGAAGUUUGAAACACCUCAUUCUAGCUUUGCAAUUGUUAACUAAAGUGCCUCUAAAGAGAAAGUUACUUUAACGGUUAUAAUAUAAUAUAUUUAAUUAAUUAAUAAAAUCCAUCCACCACAGAAACUAAGGCAAAUACCAUAAUAAUAAUAAUAAUAACAACAACAACAACAACAAUAAUACCGUAUUGACCUUCUUGGAGCAUGCCAAAAAUGAUAACAUUCCAUAUUGACUUGACACUAAUACUGAAAUACUGCUAUUAAAAG